GUCCCUGUAGUGCAAUGGAUAGCACGUUGGACUUCUAAUCCAAAGGUCGUGUGUUCGAAUCCCACUUGGGUUG
rnacentral:tRNA from 1 species